rfam:Camelus ferus unplaced genomic scaffold scaffold850, whole genome shotgun sequence.
GAGGGUAUAGCUCAGUGGUAGAGUGCAUGUUUAGAAUACACAACGUCUUGGGUUCAAUCCCCAGUACCUCCU